GAGAUCACCAUGGUGACUUGCAAGUAACUCACUAUGCUUUAGUGCUGGACUACUUAAAUUUUUAAUUUAAUAAUAAAAAAUUUUUAAGCACAAUCAAGUACUUAUGGUGGUCAGUGUGUGAGUCAAGAUGAGAUUAAUCUCUCCGGAUUCUGGAGUUAAUGCAUCAGUGUAUUUUAAUUUAGUAAAAUCUGAGCUCAGAUAAUCCAUGUGAUGGAUUUGAAAGAUUGAAAUACC
rnacentral:lncRNA from 1 species